AAGAAAAUGUAAAAAACCCUAACUCUCCUAAACGGUCAAGUGAGCAUCCUUACCCUCUCUUCAAGUUCCUGGGCAGGUGAGCUUGCGCCUUCGACGCCAGAUCUGUGUUUAAAGCUUAUGUGACCGCACCAUCCUUUUGUUAAGUCCAAACCUCUCUCUAUCUCUCAUCUGUUAUCUUUUGAUCGUAAUGUCCACUUUUGGUGCCGCAAAUACGAACCCAAACAAAUCCCAUGAGGUAGCUCAACCACCCGCUGAUUCUGUUUCGAGCCUUUCUUUCAGUCCCAAGGCCAAUUUCCUCGUUGCUACUUCAUGGGACAACCAGGUUCGGUGCUGGGAGAUAACGAGGAAUGGGACUGUUGUCAACAGUACUCCCAAGGCUUCAAUUUCUCAUGACCAGCCAGUUUUGUGCUCAGCUUGGAAGGAUGAUGGAACGACGGUUUUUUCUGGAGGCUGUGACAAGCAGGUCAAGAUGUGGCCUCUUUUGUCUGGUGGACAACCGGUGACUGUUGCCAUGCAUGAUGCUCCCAUAAAAGAUAUUGCCUGGAUACCAGAGAUGAGUCUUUUAGCCACAGGAAGCUGGGACAAGACCCUGAAGUAUUGGGACACCAGGCAGUCAAAUCCUGUGCAUACUCAACAACUUCCUGAUCGCUGUUAUGCCAUGACAGUGAAACAUCCUCUGAUGGUUGUGGGAACUGCAGAUAGGAAUCUGGUUGUCUUCAACUUGCAAAACCCUCAGACCGAGUACAAAAGAAUUGUAUCUCCCUUGAAAUAUCAGACAAGAUGUGUUGCUGCUUUUCCUGAUCAGCAAGGUUUUUUGGUUGGCUCAAUAGAAGGGAGGGUUGGAGUACAUCACCUGGAUGAUGCACAACAAAGCAAGAAUUUUACUUUUAAAUGCCACAGAGAGAACAAUGAGAUAUAUUCAGUCAACUCCUUAAAUUUCCAUCCGAUACAUCAUACUUUUGCAACUGCUGGAUCUGAUGGUGCUUUCAAUUUCUGGGAUAAGGACAGUAAACAGAGACUCAAGGUUAUGCAAAGGUGUAGUCAGCCCAUACCUUGCAGUACAUUCAAUAAUGAUGGUUCAAUAUUUGCAUACGCGGUCUGUUAUGAUUGGAGCAAGGGUGCAGAAAAUCACAAUCCAACUACAGCAAAGAGCUACAUCUUUUUGCACCUACCACAGGAGACUGAGGUUAAAGGUAAGCCAAGAGCUGGAACAACGGGUAGAAAGUGAAAUUUUGCCCCGAAGAUCCGUUUUGUUUUGGUGCUACCAUUGAGGCUUUGAAGCUGGAAUCAGCAGAUUGGUCAUUUAAUAUUUUGGUUCAACAGCUAAAUUGAGAAGAUUGUAAUUCUUACUUCGGAUUUUCAUCCAAAAUUCUUAGUGUGGAUGUAUCAUGACGGAGUCUUCUUUCUUUAACAUUGAGAAGCGAUGCUGGAGGCUUGCCUCGUCAUUUCUUGAUCCCAAUGUUAUCAUCCUUAUUAAUCUUUUCAUGCUUCUGUUUCUCAGCCAUCCUGAUUGCUAGAGGUUUAAUUCCUUGGAGCUGUGUGGACAAAAGAGAGAAUAAAAUUCGUGGUUUAGCAUAUGCUUUCAUAUUUAGGGUUUAGAUUAUACCUAGAGUGGAUAUUGGAAUGGACGUACGUAACACAUGAAGCUUUUUAAUAUCGAAAGUUUUGAAGAAACGUUUAACUUU